GGUUCCAGCCAGUGCAAAAGAGAGUCUCCUCGUGGAUGCCUUCAGAUAAAGAUGUAGAAUUCUCAGCUCCACCAGGCCCUAGACUGCCUGGGUGCUGUCCUGCUUCCCACCAUGAUGAUAAUGGACUAAACCUUUGAAACUACCCAGAAAGCAGUUGUUUGUGUCCAGAGGACAGACAAGAAGACAGCUCUUUUAACACUAAGUCCAGGGUUCUGCAUCAAUUGCCAAUAAAGCCAGGAGCACUGAAGCACCAAGCAUUUACAAGUGUGGCUUUCUUCUGGAUCCAGAUGGCAACCUGCCUUCUCCACAAACUCUACUCAAGCUCACAUCCUGAAUCCAAGUUGACAUUUGCCAUGCUGCUCUCCUCCUCCCCAGACUUGUCUUCUCCUCAGACUCCCUCAUCUGGCGGCUGACCAUUGGGACUGGCAGGUGUCUCAGUUCACCCACUCUGCUGAGCCAGUUGCUCUCAGUUUUGAAUUUCUCUACAUUUCCUGGGCCGUUUGUAAGCUCCUAUUGCUUUCCCUUUGGAAAUCACCAUGGCUUCAGGCUGAUCUGUGUUCUUGUUAACCGCAGUUUCUGUCUAUUUAAAGACACAGUAUAAUGACUUGUGAAGAUUUUCACAUGUCUGUCAGUUCAAUAUGCCCUGCCACCUGCCAUGAGAGGUGCCAGGCAAAACACAGAAGUAGCCUCUUCUCCACAGGAUGCCACCACACACACCCCAGCAGCCAUGGGCAACUCACUCAGGGUUUGCGGUAUUCCAACAGAGCCACAUUGCUGGGAAGAAGAGACACAGGUCUGUGGACUCCCACCUCUUGCUCCCUCUUACAUCCUUUAUCCCCUGGCCUCCCUUCCUCCAUCCCUGCCUCCUUUUUUGCCAUGUUUUGAACAGGAACUAUGAGUUCCCAUCCACUUUCUUGUUAUGCUGACUUGUUAUGGCCAUAGUCCAGGACAAAUGGUGAAAGCAAAGUGGUCCCCAUCCCAGUAUACUGACAGAGACUAGAAUAAUAAAAGUGUAGUUACAAUUUAAUUUCUAAGACAGGCAUCACCAUGGUAGCACAAACCUAUACACCAAUAAUCCUAGCCUUAGGUAGGCUAAGGCAGGCUAGUCUGAACUACAUCGUGAGACCUUGCCUCAAGUUGGUAAACCAACCACAAAGUUGAAAAUGUACUUUA